rnacentral:ncRNA from 2 species
UCAUCCGCAGUAUUGGAUGGUUCCCGGAUCCGGAAACGGAUCGGGGAGUAAAUGGGAAUGUGACGCGGCGGACCCAAUUAGGGCGCUGCAAUCACGGCCGACCCCGCGACUGUAGAGUGGCGAGGAACGUUCAUCCGGUGGGGAGGAUUUGUGUGGGUCAUGGGGCAUGGUGCUCCGGGCUGCACAGAGAAAACCAGCCGGAAAAGCCACUGGGUGGCAUUGCGAUAAGCCAAGGCUCGGACGCCUCUUUCUCUACGAAUCGUCCACCUUUCGCGAUGCUGAUACCCGGGAAGGUGAGAGCGGUCCGCAGGCGUGAAAACGCCGGACGCCACGAGCCAGGAGACCUGCCAGCCGAUGAGGGCAUAU